GACAUUCCCCAUUCUUGCAUUUCUUCAUCUGUGUGAUGAAUUGCUAAGCUGUAUUCCCUACCUUCUCCUAACUCCAUAACUCGAAUCUCACAGUUCCCAGGAUUAUUUAGGUGCUCAAAUUGUUCAACUGUCCACUUGAACCACUUCAUGAGGAAUACACGACAAGUUAAUCCAUGUGAUACAAUUAUGAGAUUUAGGUCAUGUGAAGGGUCAUGG
rnacentral:misc_RNA from 1 species